rnacentral:tRNA from 1 species
GUGGUCCAGUGGUAGAAUUCUUGCCUUCUAUGCAGGAGAUGCAGGAGACCCAGGUUCAAUUCCUGGC